rnacentral:tRNA from 1 species
GGGCGAAUAGCUCAGCUGGUCAGAGCAUCCGGCUUACACCCGGAAGGUCGGCGGUUCGAACCCGUCUUCGCCCA